rnacentral:misc_RNA from 1 species
GAAAUGCGAUAAGUAAUGUGAAUUGCAGAAUUCAGUGAAUCAUUGAAUCUUUGAACGCACCUUGCGCUCCUUGGUAUUCCUUGGAGCAUGCCUGUUUGAGUAUCAUGAAAUCUUCAAAGUAAAUCUUUUGUUAACUCAAUUGGCUUCUACUUUGGUAUUGGAGGUCUUUGCAGCUUCACACCUGCUCCUCUUUGUUCAUUAGCUGGAUCUCAGUGUUAUGCUUGGUUCCACUCGGCGUGAUAAGUUAUCUAUCGCUGAGGACACUGUAAAAGGUGGCCAAGGUAAAUGCAGAUGAACCGCUUCUAAUAGUCCAUUGACUUGGACAAUACUUUUAUGAUCUGAUCUCAAAUCAGGUAGGACUACCCGCUGAACUUAAGC